rnacentral:lncRNA from 1 species
AUGCAGCAGCAUCCAAGAAUAACUCCCGUAAAAGACCGGUUUCUAGUCCCGGUAACCGGAUCAGGAGACCUGUAACAAUCAGAUUAAAAAGGAACAUAAUGUUAGUAAAAGUUGAAGAGGUCGCAAAAUGGGUGGGUCGUUUGUCAAAAUGGGCCAGCUUGAGAUAAUCCAAAACACUUUCCAUCAAGAAAUGCUCGAGUUUUUUAAUAAAUAGUUAGCAUAUUAAAAAUGAUCAUGACGUUUACAUCAUUUCAAAAAUUAAUAAAAAAACCAUUUUCUAGGUCAUAAUACGCUUGAAAUGAAUUUUAACUCAUUUCUCUUUUCAAUGUCUUUACCCAUUUGACCCAUAAAUCCAUUUAUAAGUGAACGGGUCAAAAUUACCACCUCUAAAAGUAGUAAUUUUAUUGACUCGUAUUUCAUUAUCUUUCUCAUCGAGUCAUCCUCAAUGAGGAUGCUUAUUAAAUAUGAUCAAGCAUAUAGAUAAAAAUUCCGAACGAAAAAUUUGUCAAUUUGACAAAGUAUAUAGAUAAAAAUGUAGUCAUAUACGGAUUAUCAUUGUCAAACUGCUGAUGAAUAUGGUUCUAGUUAUGGUUUUUUAUAUCAUGCAUAGCAAGAAAGAUGAGACCUUUAAACAUAAGGUUGUGUAAUUAUUUGGUGGCCCCGCUUGUAGUUUCCGGUUUAUGCAAAUGAAUGUCUUGGGAAGAAGAUUGCAUUUGAUCUUCAGCUCUUCAAAUAACUUCUUCAGCGCUAAAACCAGUUCACUUCUCCUCCUGUUCUUUUCACCAAACUCUUGAAAAUUCAUCAUAUGAUUGAAAACAUCGCCAUUUUUAUCUUGUUCACAUUUUCGAUCUCCUUCACGACAAAACUGUGAUUCAGGUGCCAGAAUUGGGGAUUCUACUCCAAAUACCUAAUCACAUAUAAUAAUGAUAGAUAGCAUUUGUUAUAUACCAUGAAACAGAAUGUAUAAAAAAUGUUUUAUAACUUACUUUUCAUCUUGUCUUUUAAUAGCCCAAUCUUCUCAAUAGGUGUUGUAAAGUCAGAGAAUUCGACACCAUCUGACAUAUCUGGACUUCUAUAGAAAUUUCUAAUGCGCUUUGUAGACAAACCCCAAUUCGGAUUAUAUUGUCAUAUCUCCAGAAAGCCGUCGUUAAGAUAUUCAUCUCUUCAACUAUCAACUGUCAAAUAACAAAUAGUCCAUCAAUUAAAUGCAAAAUAU